UACAGAGGGUGCAAGCGUUAUUCGGAAUUAUUGGGCGUAAAGGGCGCGUAGGCGGCUGUACAAGUCAAAGGUGAAAUCCCUCGGCUCAACUGAGGAACUGCCUUUGAAACUGUACGGCUUGAGGCCGGGAGGGGGUAGCGGAAUUCCCAGUGUAGCGGUGAAAUGCGUAGAUACUGGGAGGAACACCAGUGGCGAAGGCGGCUACCUGGACCGGUUCUGACGCUGAGGCGCGAAAGCGUGGGUAGCAAACAGG
rnacentral:rRNA from 1 species